rnacentral:rRNA from 2 species
AUACAUGCAAGUCGAGCGGAUCGAUGGGAGCUUGCUCCCUGAGAUCAGCGGCGGACGGGUGAGUAACACGUGGGUAACCUGCCUGUAAGACUGGGAUAACUCCGGGAAACCGGGGCUAAUACCGGAUAACACCUACCCCCGCAUGGGGGAAGGUUGAAAGGUGGCUUCGGCUAUCACUUACAGAUGGACCCGCGGCGCAUUAGCUAGUUGGUGAGGUAACGGCUCACCAAGGCGACGAUGCGUAGCCGACCUGAGAGGGUGAUCGGCCACACUGGGACUGAGACACGGCCCAGACUCCUACGGGAGGCAGCAGUAGGGAAUCUUCCGCAAUGGACGAAAGUCUGACGGAGCAACGCCGCGUGAGUGAAGAAGGUUUUCGGAUCGUAAAACUCUGUUGUUAGGGAAGAACAAGUGCCGUUCGAAUAGGGCGGCACCUUGACGGUACCUAACCAGAAAGCCACGGGCUAACUACGUGCCAGCAGCCGCGGUAAUACGUAGGUGGCAAGCGUUGUCCGGAAUUAUUGGGCGUAAAGCGCGCGCAGGUGGUUUCUUAAGUCUGAUGUGAAAGCCCACGGCUCAACCGUGGAGGGUCAUUGGAAACUGGGGAACUUGAGUGCAGAAGAGGAAAGUGGAAUUCCAAGUGUAGCGGUGAAAUGCGUAGAUAUUUGGGAGGGAACACCAGUGGCGAAGGCGACUUUUCUGGUCUGGUAACUGACACUGAGGGCGCGAAAAGCGUGGGGGAGCAAAACAGGAUUAGAUACCCCUGGUACUCCACGACCGUUAAACCGAUGAGUGGCUAAGUGUGAGAGGGUGUUUCCGCCCUUUAGUGCUGCAGCUAAACGCAUUAAGCACUCCGCCUGGGGAAGUACGGUCGCAAGACUGAAACUCAAAGGAAUUGACGGGGGCCCGCACAAGCGGUGGAGCAUGUGGUUUAAUUAGAAAGCAAACGCGAAGAACCUUACCAGGUCUUGACAUCCUCUGACAACCCUAGAGAUAGGGCUUUCCCCUUCGGGGGACAGAGUGACAGGUGGUGCAUGGUUGUCGUCAGCUCGUGUCGUGAGAUGUUGGGUUAAGUCCCGCAACGAGCGCAACCCUUGAUCUUAGUUGCCAGCAUUCAGUUGGGCACUCUAAGAUGACUGCCGGUGACAAACCGGAGGAAGGUGGGGAUGACGUCAAAUCAUCAUGCCCCUUAUGACCUGGGCUACACACGUGCUACAAUGGACGGUACAAAGGGCUGCAAGACCGCGAGGUUUAGCCAAUCCCAUAAAACCGUUCUCAGUUCGGAUUGUAGGCUGCAACUCGCCUACAUGAAGCUGGAAUCGCUAGUAAUCGCGGAUCAGCAUGCCGCGGUGAAUACGUUCCCGGGCCUUGUACACACCGCCAGUGCACACCACGAGAGUUUGUAACACCCGAAGUCGGUGAGGUAACCUUUUGGAGCCAGCCG